rnacentral:tRNA from 1 species
GGCCUCGAGGCGGAAUGGCGACGCACAGGAUUGCAAAUCCUGCCCACUUGGUUCGAAUCCAGGCGAGGCCUCCA